CAUUUACAGUGUUGUGCAGCCGCCACCGUCCAUCUCCAGAACUCUUCCCUUUUCCCAAACUGGAACUCUGUCCCCAUGGAACAGCAACUCCACAUCCCCUCCCUCAGCCCCUAGUGCCCACCCUCUACUUCUGUCUCUGUGGAUUUGACUACUCCAGGGACCCCACAUGAGUGGAGUCACACAGUGUUUGUCCUGUGUCUGGCUUAUUUCGCUGAACACGGUGUCCUCAGGUCUAUCCAUGUUGCAGCCUGUGUCAGGACCUCCUGCCUUUUUAAUGGCCAAAUCAUAUUCCAUGGAUGGAUGGGCCCUGAUCUGUCUAUUCUUCCAUGGAAGAAUUCUCAUCACCUUUGCGUUAUCUUUGUAGCCCACAUUUCUCUUCAGUAAAUCCCUGAUGAUGAUGUCAUUGUCUGCUCCUCUGCCCCAGCUCUGCUAACAGAAGCCACAGAGGCUUCUUCCUCAGCUCCUCAGAAUCCAGACCCAGAGGUCGGUGUGGGCCUGAGGGGUACGGCGUGUGUCCCUUUCCCCCAGGGAGUGUGGCCUGGGAGGCUUUCUUGGUGCCUGCUCUGAUGAUCACCCAUGGCGGGUGGGCUGGGGUGCUGGCCUUGUGGCCUCCCAUGACACCCGUGACAGUGACCACAGGUGCUGGCUUGCCUUCCUUCUAAUGAGGGUGCUAUCCAGGGGUGGCUUUCAAAGAGUGAAGGGCAGGCACCUACCUCAGCUCAUGCCCCAGUCAGCUGCUCCUCAGGUGGCUGAGGAGGGCCUGUUCCCAAGAAUGAUACUGCAGACAAAUAUAAAGGCCAUUGUUCCCCUAGGUCUCUGCCUGGGGAGGUUGAAACUCCGGAAGCUGCCCAAAGUGGCUGUGCUUAUGAGCGGGGCCUUGAAGCCCAAGGAUAUGCAAUUUUCUUUUUUUUUUUUUGAGAUGGAGUCUUGCCCUGUCGCUAGGCUGGAGUGCAGUGGUGUCAUCUUGGCUCACUGCAACCUCCGACUCCCUGGUUCAAGCGAUUCUUCUGCCUCAGCGUCCCGAGUAGCUGGGAUUACAGGCAUAUGCCACCACACCCAGAUAGUUUUUGUAUUUUUAGUAGAGAUGGGGUUUCACCAUGUUGGCCAGGAUGGUCUCGAUCUCCUGACCUUGUGAUCCACCCGCCUCAGCCUCCAAAAGUGCUGGGAUUACAGUCAUGAGCCACCACGCCUGCCCGGAUAUGUGAAUAUUUUAUCUAGCAGUGAAUGAAGGUGUGGGGUGCCCAGCAAGGAGCUCUAGGGGUCUCAGUCAUGAGGACACAGCAGGAAAAGGACAGACGAGAAUGGCAGCAUGUGCAUGGUCAGUGCUGCCCAAAGGCAGGGCAGGCAGGAGGAUGGGGUGGGAUGGUGGGGGUCCCAGCAGGCUGGGGGGCAGGGCACCUGCCCGCCUAGCACAGUUGGGCGCAGCAAGCUGAGGGGCCAGAAGAAAACUAAAGGGUGUGGUGAUUCCAGCAAACCCAAGGUCAGAUUUCAGAGCAGAAAGUUGUCACUUGUAGAGCAGCAAGCAUCUGUCCUGUUGAUGUAGUCUAGGAGAUGCUGUCACAUCACCUGAUACUCUGGAGUCUUUCUGAGAUAGGUUGGCAUCCCAUUUACCCUGUAACACCCAAAACUUCUUAUGUCCUGUUCCCUACCUGGGCGUUGUGCAUGGGCUGGGAACGGGAAAACUCAGGCAGAGCAGAGACACAGAGGGGGCGUCUGGUAGAGACUGCGUGAGGAGCCCACUAGGAGAACCGUGGGAUGCCGGGCAAGUCUGCACUGCUGCGGUCUGAAGUCAGCCACAGACACAUGGGUUUCCAAGCGAAGCUCCCUCCCCAUGUGAUGGAGGUCACAGUCGCCCUCCCUGUCAUGCCUCCUUUCACCCUCCCAGCUGGGUCAGGUCCCCAGUCAGAGGCAGAGUCCCUGAGAUUCUGCAGCUCAGCGAUGCCCUGCGGGACGACAUCCUGCCCGAGCUUGGGGUGCGGUUUGAAGACCACGAAGGACUGCCCACAGUGGUGAAACUGGUAGACAGAAACACCUUAUUAAAAGAGAGAGAAGAAAAGAGACGGGCAGCAAAGCUGGCCAAGAUGAAGAUUCCCCCCAGUGAGAUGUUCUUGUCAGAAACCGACAAAUACUCCAAGUUUGAUGAAAAUGGUCUGCCCACACACGACAUGGAGGGCAAAGAGCUCAGCAAAGGGCAAGCCAAGAAGCUGAAGAAGCUCUUCGAGGCUCAGGAGAAGCUCUACAAGGAAUAUCUGCAGAUGGCCCAGAAUGGAAGCUUCCAGUGAGGGGGCACAGGACUGACUUUUUAAACCAUUGUGGACUAGUGGCUGCUGUCUGCCUCAGUGACAAUGUCCCAGCGCUCCUAUCAUGUUUACAGUCACCCUUGGGUCCUAAAUUAAGAGUUGUGUUCAUGUAGGUUCGUGUCGUCGUUGGCUCUGAGACAUUGAUAAUAAAUUUUUCUCAACAGUG
rnacentral:sRNA from 1 species